UGCAUAUCAGCAACGAAGAAGGGAAGGCUUCUGCCAAGCUGCCAGCAAGCACCCUGCGGGGAAAGCAGCCUCGCUGCGGGCCUGCAGCUCUGGGAUGAUAUCUGUCAGGAUAUGGAUUUAGAAGUCAGCAGUCUGGAAGUGAAAUCCCAUAAAACUCGGUGUGGAAAAGACCAGUGCAAGGGCUAAAACCUCUUAAGGGCAAGGAAAACAAAUAGGAGGGAAAAAAAGGAUAAGACAAUCUUUUCAGACAAAGGAAAAGAGUUUAGUGGGUCGAGAGGGACGUUACCAGAGGAGGAGGAUGCGCGCAGCUUCUCUCCAGCAGGUUACACAAGUAAACGAGCAGAAGAGGGCGCCAGAUAGCAAGGAGUAACUUUUAAUGUACCGACUGACAUCUUCGUAAAAGGAACGGAAUAGUCUGAAGUCUUGGCUGAGCUCAUAUUUUGUACGGGGUGAACAACUGAACAUC